UGGGGAAUAUUGGACAAUGGGCGCAAGCCUGAUCCAGCAAUACCGCGUGUGUGAAGAAGGCCUGAGGGUUGUAAAGCACUUUCAAUGGGGAGGAAAAAUGCAGGCUUAAUACGUCUGCCCUUGACAUUACCUUUAGAAGAAGCACCGGCUAACUCCGUGCCAGCAGCCGCGGUAAUACGGAGGGUGCGAGCGUUAAUCGGAAUUACUGGGCGUAAAGCGUGCGUAGGCGGCCUGUUAAGUCAGAUGUGAAAGCCCUGGGCUCAACCUGGGAACGGCAUUUGAAACUGGCAAGCUAGAGUUAGGUAGAGGGGAGUGGAAUUCCGGGGUGUAGCGGUGAAAUGCGUAGAUAUCCGGAGGAACACCAGUGGCGAAGGCGGCUCCCUGGACCCAAACUGACGCUGAGGUACGAAAGCGUGGGUAGCAAACAGGAUUAGAUACCCCUGUAGUCCCUGAGCGGGCUGGCAAGGCGCAU
rnacentral:rRNA from 1 species